rnacentral:rRNA from 1 species
UUGAACGCUGGCGGCAGGCCUAACACAUGCAAGUCGAGCGGAUGAAGGGAGCUUGCUCCUGGAUUCAGCGGCGGGCGGGUGAGUAAUGCCUAGGAAUCUGCCUGGUAGUGGGGGAUAACGUCCGGAAACGGGCGCUAAUACCGCAUACGUCCUGAGGGAGAAAGUGGGGGAUCUUCGGACCUCACGCUAUCAGAUGAGCCUAGGUCGGAUUAGCUAGUUGGUGGGGUAAAGGCCUACCAAGGCGACGAUCCGUAACUGGUCUGAGAGGAUGAUCAGUCACACUGGAACUGAGACACGGUCCAGACUCCUACGGGAGGCAGCAGUGGGGAAUAUUGGACAAUGGGCGAAAGCCUGAUCCAGCCAUGCCGCGUGUGUGAAGAAGGUCUUCGGAUUGUAAAGCACUUUAAGUUGGGAGGAAGGGCAGUAAGUUAAUACCUUGCUGUUUUGACGUUACCAACAGAUUAAGCACCGGCUAACUUCGUG